rnacentral:rRNA from 1 species
UACAGAGGGGGCAAGCGUUAUUCGGAAUUAUUGGGCGUAAAGGGCGCGUAGGCGGCCUGGCAAGUGGAAGGUGAAAUCCCUCGGCUUAACCGAGGAACUGCCCUCCAAACUGCUUGGCUUGAGACCGGGAGAGGCGAGUGGAAUUCCCAGUGUAGCGGUGAAAUGCGUAGAUAUUGGGAGGAACACCAGUGGCGAAGGCGGCUCACUGGACCGGUUCUGACGCUGAGGCGCGAAAGCGUGGGGAGCAAACAGG